rnacentral:rRNA from 1 species
CCUACGGGAGGCAGCAGUGAGGAAUAUUGGUCAAUGGGCGCAAGCCUGAACCAGCCAAGUCGCGUGAAGGAUGACUGCCCUACGGGUUGUAAACUUCUUUUGUAAGGGAGUAAAGUGAGGCACGUGUGCCUGUUUGUAUGUACUUUAUGAAUAAAGCUCGGCCAAAUCCGUGCCAGCAGCCGCGGUAAUACGGAGGAACCGGGCGUUAUCCGGAUUUAUUGGGUUUAAAGGGAGCGUAGAUGGGUUGUUAAGUCAGUUGUGAAAGUUCGCGGCUCAACCGUAAAAUUGCAAUUGAUACUGGCAGCCUUGAGUACAGUUGAGGUAGGCGGAAUUCGUGGUGUAGCGGUGAAAUGCUUAGAUAUCACGAAGAACUCCGAUUGCGAAGGCAGCCUACUAAACUGCCACUGACAUUGAUGCUCGAAAGUGUGGGUAUCAAACAGGAUUAGAUACCCUUGUAGUC